rnacentral:misc_RNA from 1 species
UACGGAGGGUGCGAGCGUUAAUCGGAAUUACUGGGCGUAAAGCGCACGUAGGCGGUUUGUUAAGCAAGAUGUGAAAGCCCAGGGCUCAACCUUGGAAUUGCAUUUUGAACUGGCAAGCUAGAGUUUUGAAGAGGGUGGUAGAAUUUCCAGUGUAGCGGUGAAAUGCAUAGAUAUUACUCAGAAUACCAGUGGCGAAGGCGGCCUUCUGGACUGACACUGACACUGAGGUGCGAAAGCGUGGGUAGCAAACAGG